UGAAAAUGCACGUGAAGGUUCCCGUUAUUAUAUUAGGCUCUCAAAAGGAAGGUGAACUAUCAAUAGAUGCAAAUAAACUUUCCUCAGCUCUGUAUGACUCUUUUCCCUAUCGUACUGUUGAUUUGUUGGAUGAGUCAUGGCAGCCCCUAAAAAGGA
rnacentral:sRNA from 14 species